rnacentral:rRNA from 1 species
UAGGGAAUCUUCCGCAAUGGACGCAAGUCUGACGGAGCAACGCCGCGUGAGUGAAGAAGGAUUUCGGUUCGUAAAACUCUGUUGUUAGCGAAGAACAGCGCAUAGAGUAACUGUUAUGCGUGUGACGGUAUCUAACCAGAAAGCCACGGCUAACUACGUGCCAGCAGCCGCGGUAAUACGUAGUUGGCAAGCGUUGUUCGGAUUUAUUGGGCGUAAAGCGAGCGCAGGCGGUCAAGUAAGUCUGAGGUGAAAGCCCCCGGCUCAACCGGGGAGGGGCAUUGGAAACUGGUUGACUUGAGUGGAGAAGAGGAGAGUGGAAUUCCAUGUGUAGCGGUGAAAUGCGUAGAUAUAUGGAGGAACACCAGUGGCGAAGGCGACUCUCUGGUCUGUAACUGACGCUGAGGCUCGAAAGCGUGGGUAGCGAACAGG